AAACUCAAAUUUGCUGACAGGGAAGUUAUAUAUUUUCUCUUAUUUGCAAUUUCUGUAAUUUUAUUUUUUAUUUGUAUGACGUGGUUCAAACUUGGAAAUAUUUGUUGAGAAACUUUUAAUAAGUUCAGUAAUUAAAUCCAACAGUGUUUGCUUAGUGUUCAACAAUAAACAUUAAUAUACAAUGAACAGCGAAGGAACCAAGGUGAAUUUGACAGCUUUAACGUGGGCUCAUGCAGUUAAUAGUCAGCAGCAAUUAACAGAUGCUUUAAAUAGUGAUAUUGACUUUAUAGAAGCUGACGUUGUGAUGGGUAAAAUUUGCAACAAUGGGGCAGACCUACCUAUAAUGGCUCAUCCUCCAGCAAAAACUUCAAAUUUAUCGUUGGAUUCAUUUCUUUUGCAAGUAAAAAAUCACAAUGACAAUAAUAUCAAAAAUAUGAAGGGUGUUAAACUGGAUUUUAAAUCUAUAGCAGUUUUUCAAGGAGCUUUGCCAACUUUGAAAGAAAAAAUACCUGAGAUGACCUAUCCUAUUUGGCUUAAUGCCGAUAUUGUUAAAGGCCCUGUUAAUCAAACUAUGAUCACACCUGUAAAUCCAGAACAAUUUUUUGCGGGUUGUGCUCAAUUUAAAAAGGCUGUUUUAUCAAUUGGCUGGACAACUAAAUGGACAUCAACUUUCAACAAUGGCUCCUACUCACGUGAAGAGAUUAAUGAAAUGCUAAAGGCUAUAAAAAGUAGUAUCGUUACUAAGACAGGACAACAUAUAACAUUUCCUGUACGUGCUGGCAUAGCAGCAAAUAGUUUGAUUGAAUUGCAUGAUUUGGUAAAUUCUGUAAAUGACACUAAUGAAUCUCUCUUCAUUAAACAAAAGUACAAAGUAAUUAAACUUAUUGUAUUGAAGUGUUUUUGAACAUGAAACGAGUAUGGAAAACGAGUCGAGAAGCGAUUUUUAAAAACCAUGAUGUGUUUCAAAAACACGAAUGUGUGAACGUAGUAUUAUAAAAAGUUAGUGACAACUGGCAAUACCAUAAAGCAAAGAAUGCAUGAUAGUGCAUUAAAGUUACAGGAAUUUUAUUUUUCUGCUCAUGAUUUCUGGCUUGUUUAAAAAACUAGUUACGCCUGAUGUUUUAACACAGAAUUCAAAAAUUUGGCGACAUGUGUUUUGAUGCACUAAACCAUUUCCAAUUAAAGUCAAUUUUAUGAUUGUUACGACUA
rnacentral:misc_RNA from 1 species